rnacentral:rRNA from 1 species
GAGUCUUAAUUGGGCGUUAAGUUGCAGGGUAUAGACCCGAAACCCGGUGAUCUAGCCAUGGGCAGGUUGAAGGUUGGGUAACACUAACUGGAGGACCGAACCGACUAAUGUUGAAAAAUUAGCGGAUGACCUGUGGCUGGGGGUGAAAGGCCAAUCAAACCGGGAGAUAGCUGGUUCUCCCCGAAAGCUAUUUAGGUAGCGCCUCGUGAAUUCAUCUCCGGGGGUAGAGCACUGUUUCGGCUAGGGGGCCAUCCCGGCUUACCAACCCGAUGCAAACUGCGAAUACCGGAGAAUGUUAUCACGGGAGACACACGGCGGGUGCUAACGUCCGUCGUGAAGAGGGAAACAACCCAGACCGCCAGCUAAGGUCCCAAAGUCAUGGUUAAGUGGGAAACGAUGUGGGAAGGCCCAGACAGCCAGGAUGUUGGCUUAGAAGCAGCCAUCAUUUAAAGAAAGCGUAAUAGCUCACUGGUCGAGUCGGCCUGCGCGGAAGAUGUAACGGGGCUAAACCAUGCACCGAAGCUGCGGCAGCGAACGUAUCACCCAAGACAACUUUACGGAGUUGACGAUUGACGGAGCGAAGCGACGUCAAAGCGUUCAUUAAAGUCGAGUUGGCUUAGGGAUACGUUCGUUGGGUAGGGGAGCGUUCUGUAAGCCUGUGAAGGUGUGUCGUGAGGCAUGCUGGAGGUAUCAGAAGUGCGAAUGCUGACAUAAGUAACGAUAAAGCGGGUGAAAAGCCCGCUCGCCGGAAGACCAAGGGUUCCUGUCCAACGUUAAUCGGGGCAGGGUGAGUCGACCCCUAAGGCGAGGCCGAAAGGCGUAGUCGAUGGGAAACGGGUUAAUAUUCCCGUACUUGGUGUUACUGCGAAGGGGGGACGGAGAAGGCUAUGUUGGCCGGGCGACGGUUGUCCCGGUUUAAGCGUGUAGGUGUGUGUUCCAGGUAAAUCCGGUUCACUUUAACACUGAGGCGUGACGACGAGGCACUACGGUGCUGAAGCAACAAAUGCCCUGCUUCCAGGAAAAGCCUCUAAGCAUCAGGUAACACGAAAUCGUACCCCAAACCGACACAGGUGGUCAGGUAGAGAAUACCAAGGCGCUUGAGAGAACUCGGGUGAAGGAACUAGGCAAAAUGGUGCCGUAACUUCGGGAGAAGGCACGCUGACACGUAGGUGAAGUGAUUUACUCAUGGAGCUGAAGUCAGUCGAAGAUACCAGCUGGCUGCAACUGUUUAUUAAAAACACAGCACUGUGCAAACACGAAAGUGGACGUAUACGGUGUGACGCCUGCCCGGUGCCGGAAGGUUAAUUGAUGGGGUCAGCGCAAGCGAAGCUCCUGAUCGAAGCCCCGGUAAACGGCGGCCGUAACUAUAACGGUCCUAAGGUAGCGAAAUUCCUUGUCGGGUAAGUUCCGACCUGCACGAAUGGCGUAAUGAUGGCCAGGCUGUCUCCACCCGAGACUCAGUGAAAUUGAACUCGCUGUGAAGAUGCAGUGUACCCGCGGCAAGACGGAAAGACCCCGUGAACCUUUACUAUAGCUUGACACUGAACAUUGAGCCUUGAUGUGUAGGAUAGGUGGGAGGCUUUGAAGUGUGGACGCCAGUCUGCAUGGAGCCGACCUUGAAAUACCACCCUUUAAUGUUUGAUGUUCUAACGUGGACCCGUAAUCCGGGUUGCGGACAGUGUCUGGUGGGUAGUUUGACUGGGGCGGUCUCCUCCUAAAGAGUAACGGAGGAGCACGAAGGUUGGCUAAUCCUGGUCGGACAUCAGGAGGUUAGUGCAAUGGCAUAAGCCAGCUUGACUGCGAGCGUGACGGCGCGAGCAGGUGCGAAAGCAGGUCAUAGUGAUCCGGUGGUUCUGAAUGGAAGGGCCAUCGCUCAACGGAUAAAAGGUACUCCGGGGAUAACAGGCUGAUACCGCCCAAGAGUUCAUAUCGACGGCGGUGUUUGGCACCUCGAUGUCGGCUCAUCACAUCCUGGGGCUGAAGUAGGUCCCAAGGGUAUGGCUGUUCGCCAUUUAAAGUGGUACGCGAGCUGGGUUUAGAACGUCGUGAGACAGUUCGGUCCCUAUCUGCCGUGGGCGCUGGAGAACUGAGGGGGGCUGCUCCUAGUACGAGAGGACCGGAGUGGACGCAUCACUGGUGUUCGGGUUGUCAUGCCAAUGGCACUGCCCGGUAGCUAAAUGCGGAAGAGAUAAGUGCUGAAAGCAUCUAAGCACGAAACUUGCCCCGAGAUGAGUUCUCCCUGAGACUUAGAGUCUCCUGAAGGAACGUUGAAGACGACGACGUUGAUAGGCCGGGUGUGUAAGCGCAGCGAUGCGUUGAGCUAACCGGUACUAAUGAACCGUGAGGCUUAACCUUACA